UAGGGAAUCUUCCACAAUGGACGCAAGUCUGAUGGAGCAACGCCGCGUGAGUGAAGAAGGUUUUCGGAUCGUAAAGCUCUGUUGUUGGUGAAGAAGGAUAGAGGCAGUAACUGGUCUUUAUUUGACGGUAAUCAACCAGAAAGUCACGGCUAACUACGUGCCAGCAGCCGCGGUAAUACGUAGGUGGCAAGCGUUGUCCGGAUGUAUUUGGCGUAAAGCGAGCGCAGGCGGAAUGAUAAGUCUGAUGUGAAAGCCCACGGCUCAACCGUGGAACUGCAUCGUAAACUGUCAUUCUUGAGUGCAGAAGAGGAGACUGGAAUUCCAUGUGUAGCGGUGGAAUGCGUAGAUAUAUGGAAGAGCACCAGUGGCGAAGGCGGCUCUCUGGUCUGCAACUCACGCUGAGGCUCGAAAGCAUGGGUAGCGAACAGG
rnacentral:rRNA from 1 species